rnacentral:misc_RNA from 1 species
GUUCCCGCCCGACAUCCCGCUAAUCGUCAGCGAUGAAGACUUGUAUAGUCCCCGUUGUCAUUUUACUGAGCUUUGUGCGUGAUGUGUUUUCCCAGGGAGACAGGCGGCGGCCCCCUGUUGGAGCCACCAUAGACCAAUUGAUAGCCCGGUCCAUGGGGGGAAUAGAAGGUUAUGUGAACAUAAGCAACCAACUGGUGACUCCUGAUUCCAAGAUUCUGGCAGAAUUAGACAUGUACCUCACGUAUGACCAGUACAAGAUUCUAUACUCUUCUGAAAGACAAAGAACAAAGCGGAAGGCAGUGCGAUCGGGUGUACUGCGUUGGCCCAGUGGUGAAAUACCUUACGAAUUCAAAUGGGGCGCAUACAGUAACUCGGAGAAAUAUCUAAUCCGUGUCGCCAUGCGUGAAUGGGAAAAGUAUACGUGUCUGCGAUUUAGAAAAAGACAGAGAGAGAAUAACUAUGUUAUGUUUCAAGACAAUUUUGGCUGUAACUCCCAGUUAGGCAUGGUCGGUGGAGGACAGCCUUUGAAUCUAGACAGAAAUGGCUGCCGAUACAAAGGGCUUUAUCUUCAUGAGAUUGGGCACGCUGUUGGUUUGGUUCACGAACACCAGCGGCCGAUUCGGGAUCAGUUUAUUCGAAUCAAUUACGGAAAUGUACAUCCAAGUCUACGACAAUGGUUUCAGAAGUAUCCACAGUACCGAAUCAACAACUUUAAUAUUUCUUACGAGUUUUCCUCUGUCAUGCAUUACGGAAUCACGGCAUUUUCUGUUGAUGGGCGAUCAAAAACUAUAGAGACGCAGCCUCAGUACAGAUCACAGGAACCGGAAAUAGGACGCGUGUAUUCCAAGGAGUUGUCCUUCACCGAUAUAGCCACAGUUAACAAUAUGUAUCAUUGUAAUAGACACUGCAGUAGAAAUAUACGCUGUAGAGAUGGCGGCUAUGUAGACCAGAAUUGUCGAUGUGUCUGUCCUGACGGGUCGUCAGACUGUGAAGAAGGCAAAGCUCCACAAUUUCAGUUCUGUAGGAAUCAGGACAAGGAUUGGUCGUGCAGUGUGUGGGCCAAACAGGGGGAGUGCGACAGAAACCCUAGGUACAUGAAAUCCAAGUGUGCGCGGGCGUGUGGAGUAUGCAGUGACGCAAUGGCCGCCGACAAAGUGGUUGGAGACCAGUGCGUGAAUGCUUUUCCCGAUGACAAGUGUAAAAGCUGGAAAGAGCUUGGAGACUGUGUGGCCAACAAAGUAUGGAUGUCACAGAACUGUAAAAAGGCAUGUGGAGUCUGUGACAGUAGCAACGAUUCCACCGGAACUGGGUGCUCAAACAGGCAACCCGACAAGAAGUGUGACGACUGGGCAGUGAGGGGAGAAUGUACUGUCAAUCCGAGAUGGAUGGCGAGAAAUUGCCAGAAGUCGUGUCAACAAUGUACCGACGGCAGUGGUACAACUUCCAAAAUACCAAAUACCACUCCCACUCCUAGACCCACCGUACGAACGACUGCUGCCACCACCACCACCACCACCACAGAAAGAACCACAACCUCAGAACCAUCUACCACUGUGGAUAAUGGGACUGUUGCCACCACCACCACCACCACCACAGAAAGAACCACAACCUUAGAACCAUCUACCACUGUGGAUAAUGUUACUUCUUCUACCACAGAACCGCCUACCACUGUAGAUACAACCACUACCAGAGACGAGAUUCUGACGACUAUAAUCCCAUGGCAGUCUACCACUACCACCAGUCGACCGUCUACAACCACUGUAUAUACUCCACCGACCCGAACUACUACAAGAUCACCUACCACACGGAAACCGGGCAGACUCUUACCGAAGGCACCUGUUAUUUCGGUAAUAGAAGUCACACCAGACUUGGUCAGAUUCCAAGUGUCAUUCCGGAGAUAUGAUGGAUCUACACUCAAACUUCUUGUUGUCAAACCAUUCCAGAGGGAACUGAAAUAUAAAAACUAGCCAAUAGAAUUAACAGAUGGCGGACCUAGAGUUAUAGAAGUGAAGUACUCCGGUCUAAAACCGAAGUCUGCAUAUUCCUUCCGAUUCUAUGCAAUAAGUGAUGCUGGAUCUGGUCAAUAUAUUGAUGAAAAAAUAAUGACAAAAGCCAAAGGAAACAGUCAACAUACUGCAACAUCAUGGAAGGGAUGCCAUGUAGAGCUGCCUGUUUUGACUGGGAAUUCAUUGACGUAGCUAAAACAGGACCAAAAGCAAGGACAGGAACUUUUCGUGAAAGAAAAAAUUUUUUGAGGAUGAUUGAGAGGCUUAACUUUACCAUCUACAUGUAUCCUGCUAAUAAAAAAACUAUAAUAACUCGGAAUUUACCCAAACAAAACUUUAUCGAGGAAUUAAAAAGAUUUAAAAAUCUGUGUGUGUCAGAACCCUGUGGCUGCAUUUUGCUGUCCAUUUCUUCACAUGGGGUGAUUGUGAAAACGGAUGACCAGAUAGACAGUGGGGAUUUUGAAACAUUUGAAGAUUUCAUCCUAACUCACCCUGAGCUUGACAAAAGUAAAUUUUCCACGAAUUAUGUUGAUGAACGUGUCUCAGUAAAAGAAAUCGUGGAAAUGUUUGGAGAUGAAAGAUUGAAAAAGAUUCCCAAAAUAUUCUUUAUUCAGGCAUGUAGGAACCAAGAUCAUACAGGUGGUCAAGAUUCAGAUGUAGAUAUUGGCUUUGAUGUGUGUGUUUUACGACGUAAUGAAAAGGGUGAACGGUUGCCACAAAAUCAUUUACAAGUUUCAACAGCUCCUCCAGGCACAAAUAUAGCAUACUCCCCGCCGUAUUUAGAGAACAGUGCCAUUGUCUUCUCCACUCCAUUUGGUUACUCUACAGGAGCUCUGUCUAGCUUUGGAAGUCACGCGUGGGGUGUUCUUGAAAAAACACUAAAAGACAUGGAACCGGUGAAUGGAUCGAUAAAUCUUCUUGACUGGUUAAAGAAGACAAAUGGAGAUCUGGCUAAAGAUGAAGAUUUUGAAAUUCAACGUAAUUUGAAAUACAAGCCUCUUCUCAGUAUCAGCCAUACACUGACAAAACAGAUUUUGUUUAAGCUAAAGCCCUAGUGAUUUUUAAACAUGGUAAUUUUUCUUCUUUUAAAGUAACCAUGAAAAUGUACGUGAUACGUUUUCAUAAAUCAAAUAUAUACAUCAAUUAAAAUAUGUAGGUCAAUGAUAAAAGUUCUUCAAUCCUUGAUCAGCCCAAUAAAGUUAAUUUAUUUAAACAGUAUUUUAUUAUGCAAUAUAACACAUAAACGGAUGGGAUAGCAGGCAUUGCCUAUAUAAAUCCUCUCCGACAUACAAGGUCAAGGUCAUAUAAUUAUAUAUAUACAAUAUUUAGUGCCAUAAUGAAAAUAAUAUUUGAAAUAUAUGACCAGAAAAUGCAAUAGGUAUUAUAAUAGUUAUCAUUAUAAUAUUAUAAAUUGUAGUAACUAAAAGUGAUAAUAAUUAGAAAAAAAAUACAAACAAAAGGUUUUACACACUGGUUCAGGUUCUGUGGUAUAUGACAAUAGGAAAGACUAGAUGGAUUAUUUAAACUUUGAAGUGUUAUUGUCAUUCAAACGACGUCUCAAACUCGAGAUUUAUGUUUUUGGAAUCUCCAGUGAAUUGUGUUGUACUUCAUUUAUUACAGUGUAUCAAUAAAACAUUAUCAGAUU